rnacentral:misc_RNA from 1 species
GAUGAAGAACGUAGCGAAAUGCGAUAAGUAAUGUGAAUUGCAGAAUUCAGUGAAUCAUCGAAUCUUUGAACGCACAUUGCGCCCGCCAGUAUUCUGGCGGGCAUGCCUGUUCGAGCGUCAUUUCAACCAUCAAGCCCCAGGCUUGUGUUGGGGACCUGCGGCUGCCGCAGGCCCUGAAAAUCAGUGGCGGGCUCGCUAGUCACUCCGAGCGUAGUAGAUUUCAUCUCGCUCAGGGCGUGCUGCGGGUUCCGGCCGUUAAACCACCUUCAUAACCCAAGGUUGACCUCGGAUCAGGUAGGAAGACCCGCUGAACUUAAGCAUAUCAAUAAGCGGAGGA